UCUUAGAUAAACUGGAACCAAAAGUCAAUUUAUCCUCGAUAUAACUCUUUCAUGUGAACACAAAUUACUACUGUUUCAGUCCACCCUCUUCAACAUGGGCAAACGCUUUUUAUUUCACUGCUUUGAAGAAACCAAAGGAUGGAAAAUGGUAUCUGGAAUCGCCUAUGGGACACAAUGUGAUAGAAACAACAGUGAAGCGGAUAUGUGCUGUGGCCAGAAUUGGAGGAAAGAAAACGAAUCAUUCCCUGAGAUCAACUGCUGCGACCCGUCUGUACGAGGCCAACAUUAGUGAGCAGCAGAUCUGUGAGCAUACUGGUAUGUCUGUCUCUUUUUCCCAAAAUACAUAGUGCAGGAGGUAAUGCCUGUGCAAGGUGUCUGAAAGAAGUCAAUGUCAAAUCAAGCAGAAUCUCUGUUGUGAAAAGACACAGAAGUGAUGCAGUAAGGCUGUACAAAAGGACAACUGACCAACAAAAGGCGAUGGCUUCAGAUAUUUUGGCCUGCAAAGCUCCAAAAAUAGAGAACCCAAAGAAGAUAUCUCUGCGACAGUGUCUGUUCCCCCUCCUGACUCAGAGCCAAGCACAACAGAAAGUCUUACUCGUGGAAAUGUCACAAUUUUAUUAAAGAAAUCUCAAGCA